GACAUAAAUAAGGUGUACCACGGUGUAUUUAACAUCACCCUUCCCAUCCCUACAGGAAAAACCAACAACUACAGGACCAGCUGGCCAGAGCACGGGACACUGUCAGUGACCUCACAGUCAACCUACAGAGAACCACAAGGACACUCGAGGUCCAACAGGCAGC